rnacentral:rRNA from 1 species
AUUGAACGCUGGCGGCAGGCCUAACACAUGCAAGUCGAACGAGUGGCGGACGGGUGAGUAAUGUCUGGGAAACUGCCUGAUGGAGGGGGAUAACUACUGGAAACGGUAGCUAAUCCCGCAUACCAUCGGAUGUGCCAAGAUGGGAUUAGCUAGUAGGUGGGGUAAAGGGUCACCUAGGCGAAGAUCCAUAGCUGGUCUGAGAGGAUGACCAUCCAAACUUGAACUUCGACACGGGCCAGACUCCUACGGGAGGCAGCAGUUGGGAAUAUUGCACAAUGGGCGCAAGCCUGAUGCAGCCAUGCCGCGUGUAUGAAGAAGGCCUUCGUGUUUUAAAGUAAUUUCAGCGGGGAGGCGUUACCCGCAGAAGAAGCACCGGCUAACUCCGUGCCAGCAGCCGCGGUAAUAC